AACCAUAAGUGAAAUACCACUACUUUUAACGUUAUUUUUACUUAUUCCGUGAAUUGGAGGCAUGGUGUUGUCCCUCUUUUUGGACCCAAGGCUGGUUUUGGCCGGUCCAUCUAGGUGGAAGACAUUAUCAACUGGUGAGUUUGGCUGGGGUGGCACAUUUGUUGAAAGAUAACACAAGUGUCCUAAGAUGAGUUCAACGAGAACAAAAAUCUUUUGUAGAACAAAAGAGUAAAAGCUCCUUUGAUUUUAAUUUUCAAUAUGAAUACGAACCUUUUGAUUCUUUUAAGUCUAAACUAUUAGGACCCCUUAGAGGUUCUAACCAAGGAACACACAAAUCCCAAAAAAACAUAGUUUUUUUGCCAAAAAUAACUUCGCCAGUCGGGGAAUGCAUUAGAUAUUUACCUUAACCUGUAGGUCCUUGAGUAGAUCCUAUAUUAGCCCAGAGUUCACCAACGGUUGGAUUGUUUACCCACCACUUUAGAACGUGGUCUGAGUUUAAACCGUCAUGAAAUAGGUUAGUUUUACCUAUUGAUGACAGUGUCACAAUAGUAAUUCAACCUAGUACGAGAGGAAUUGUUGAUUCGCACAAUUGGUCAUCGCGCUUAGUUGUAAAGUCAGUAACGCGAAGUUACCUUGUGUUGGAUUAUGUUUGAACAUUGUCUCCAAGUCAGAAUCCAGACUAUAAACAAUGUGUGUGCC
rnacentral:ncRNA from 1 species